rnacentral:tRNA from 1 species
GCAGGCAUAGCUGAAUGGUAGAGUAUUCGACUGCAGAUCGAGAGGUGCCCGGUUCUAACCCGGGUGUCUUCU